rnacentral:rRNA from 1 species
UUCGGUCCUUGCUGCACCCUUGUCUUUUGCGUACCGUAUGUUUCCUCGGCGGGCUUGCCUGCCGGUUGGACAUUAUCAAACCUUUUUGUAGUUGCAAUCAGCGUCAGAAAACAAACAAUAAUUACAACUUUCAACAACGGAUCUCUUGGUUCUGGCAUCGAUGAAGAACGCAGCGAAAUGCGAAAAGUAGUGUGAAUUGCAGAAUUCAGUGAAUCAUCGAAUCUUUGAACGCACAUUGCGCCCCUUGGUAUUCCAUGGGGCAUGCCUGUUCGAGCGUCAUUUUGUACCCUCAAGCACUGCUUGGUGUUGGGCGUUUGUCCUGCAAAGGACUCGCCUGAAAGCGAUUGGCGGCCAACGUACUGGUGGUAGAGCGCAGCACAAUUUGCGUCUCUCCCUUCUACGUCGGCGUCCAUGAAGCCUUUUUUCAACGUUUGACCUCGGAUCAGGUAGGGAUACCCGCUGAACUUAAGCAUAUCAAUAA